rnacentral:rRNA from 1 species
CGCCUGUUUAUCAAAAAACAUGUCCUUUAGAAAAAUAUUAAAGGUCUAUUCUGCCCAAUGAUAUUUUAAAUGGCCGCGGUAAAUUGACCGUGCAAAGGUAGCAUAAUAAUUAGUCUUUUAAUUGAAGGCUUGUAUGAAUGAAUGGAUGAAAAAUUUUUCUUUUUUAAAUUAAAAUAGGGAUAACAGCGUUAUUAGUUUGGAGAGUUCAUAUCGAUAAAUUAGAUUGCGACCUCGAUAGUUGGAUUAAGAAAAGAGUUUAGAGACAAAAUCUAAAUAUUCUAGGUCUGUUACGUACCUUUAAUUCUUACAUGAUCUGAGUUACAACCGG